GUCCCCAUCGUCUAGUCUGGUCCAGGACACCGGCCUUUCACGCCGGCAACAGGGGUUCGAAUCCCCUUGGGGACGCCA
rnacentral:tRNA from 1 species